UAUUGCCAACAACAUCCUGGAUCAAUUGUAUAACAUACCAAGGUUUUCUGAAGUGAGUUUCUGAAUAUUGCUGAAGUUAUCAAAUGUCACUUUGUCCAUCCAUUCUUGAUUCAUCAUCAAUGAAUCUCCAAUGGAUAUCAAAGCAUCACAAUAGCAAACCAGAACCUGUUUGAUCAUCCAGGUAGACGAUUAACUUAGAUCUUGUCUGAAAAUAGCAUUCAACAAUUACAUUAGGUCAAUUCAAGAUGCAUUAAAAUGGCAAACCUUGUCAAUAGAUGCUCCCUUAAUUUCUGACAGUUGGCUUCUGGAUAUGCUAUCAGGGUGAAACUUGUGCAGAUCUUCAAUUGUUCUCGAAACUAACUGCAAGAAUGCAAAUGGUUUGAGAUUCAACACAAGGUUUCUAAUAUUUUUGGUUGCAAAGAGGAAGGUAAGUUAUUCUACUUCAUUUAUGCUUUCAGUGGCAUCACAAGGUGGCAGGUCAAUGAUGUCCCUGAAGGUAAAGAUUUUCUUCCUAAGUUCCAUUAUCAAUAUGAAGUUGCCUGUACAUUGAUGCGAUACUUCCAUCUUUGGUCCUUCCACUUCCUUUUUCUGAUUCUUUAGUAGGUAAGCACUUCUCAUUAUCUGCAGCAAUAUUCAUGUUUCUGUCAGUAUUGCUAGGCCAACACCAUGUAAGUUAUCCAGCUGUUUAAUCUUUCAAUAUCAAAGCAUAUUCAUAAAGCAUUUCUUUUUGAAGAUUCAUCCAUUUGCAAGAUUGCAUGACCUUGAAAAUUUUUGAGGGUGAAUUCCUGAGAGUAUUCUAGCUUUGCAUUUCAAAAUGGUAAAGAAAUCAAUUUAACGUGUCAUGUUCUUAAAAGCAAGAAGCUAUACUUGAAAUUAUAUUUCUCUUAGGUUGAGUAGUUGUAGCAGAAUAUAUAAAUGGCUAUCAUAGCCUUCCUAAAAGCUAUAUAGAAAGUAUUAUGUUUGCAUAGUUUGAUUCAUUGCAAAAUGCUGUUUCACUUGCAUGGUCCAAGAAACAUUUUUGGAUAGUCUGGAUGAUCAUGAAGAAAAUGGAACAGAUUCUUUUUUUUUCCUCAAAACCGAAAACAUUGUUGGAGAGUUGAAGAAGAGUUCUGUGAAAAGGCUGAGUUAGGAGAACAGAAUUUUCGCUUAGCAUUUUCACAGCAAUUCCAAGAUGUUAGGACGAGAAGAACAUGAAUAGAGGCACAAGAUUCCCUAGUGCCAUAACAAAUCAUGUUCGUAAUGCCCUUGCAGAUUGAAGCAAAUUGCUUGUACAGUAUAAAGCAUGUCAAAUACAUAUACACAGGACUUACCUCAAUUCUUGAAGGGUUGCCACUGAACAACAAUGGCUUCUCACCACAAAAACCACUAGUCGUAAGCUAGCAUUAGAAGUCGUAUAAAGAAAUGGAAAAAAAAAUAACAGAGGUGGAGAUGAAUGACAGAUUUUUUUUUUCUUUCCUUUAAAUACAUC
rnacentral:misc_RNA from 1 species